CCCUUAGAUGUUCUGGGCCGCACGCGUGCUACACUGAGUGGAUCAGCGGGUCAGGUUGCGCGAAAGCGUUUCCUAAUCUUUAAAUCCGCUCGUGAUGGGGAUUGACGGUUGCAAUUUUCUGUCAUGAACGAGGAAUACCUUGUAAGCGCGGGUCAUCAUCCCGCGCUGAAUACGUCCCUGCCCUUUGUACACACCGCCCGUCGCUCCCACCGAUUGAGUGGUCCGGUGAGGCUUUGGGAUCUGAGCGGAAAGAGCGUUUCGCUGUUUCUGCUCGGAAAACUCAGUCGAACCUUAUCAUUUAGAGGAAGGAGAAGUCGUAACA
rnacentral:rRNA from 1 species